UACGUAGGGGCCGAGCGUUGUCCGGAGUUAUUGGGCGUAAAGCGCGCGCAGGCGGCUUCGCGCGCCCGCCGUGAAAGCCCCCGGCUUAACCGGGGAGAGUCGGUGGGGGACGGCGGAGCUUGAGGGCGGGAGAGGUCGGUGGAAUUGCCGGUGUAGUGGUGAAAUGCGUAGAGAUCGGCAGGAACACCCCAAGGGGGAAGCCAGCCGACUGGCCCCGCACCUGACACUCAGGGACGACAGCGUGGGGAGCGAACCGG
rnacentral:rRNA from 1 species